UCUAAGAUAUUGUUACUAACUACUUUCAAAUAUUUCUCUUCAUGAAUCAUAAAUAUAUUUUAUUUGUGAUAUGUGAUUUGAUAUCAGAAUUUAAUUUAUAUGAAUUUUAAAUCGUACUUCUUCUGUUAGCUCACCAUAUCUGUCUCCUGUUUUCAUAAUCGAUAUUUUGUAGUGAGACAAUUUUCCUUUCAAUGGUUUAUUUGAGAUGGAAGUUAUGCAACGGUUAUUUUCUUACAGUGUGUUCUGUCAGAUUAAAUGCUCUUUUAAAGAAGUGGUUGUGACUCUCUGACACAUGGAAGAGGAUAAAUUGAUUUGCCCAUGAUUCCUUACAUCAUGAUCUACUGAUUGUUUUCACUGAAUGGGAUACUCCUACUAUACUAUGAGAUACUCCUACCAUUAUUAAGGAAGAGGAUAAACUCGACAUACCUAUCAUUCCUUAUAUCAUGAUGACUGAUUGUUUUCACUGAAUGUCAUGAGAUACUCCUACUGUUAUUAAGG